rnacentral:rRNA from 1 species
GAUGAACGCUGAUAGAAUGCUUAACACAUGCAAGUCAACUUGAAUUUGGGUUUUUACCUUAGGUUUGGGUGGCGGACGGGUGAGUAACGCGUAAAGAACUUGCCUCACAGCUAGGGACAACAUUUGGAAACGAAUGCUAAUACCUAAUAUUAUGAUAAUAGGGCAUCCUAUAAUUAUGAAAGCUAUAAGCGCUGUGAGAGAGCUUUGCGUCCCAUUAGCUAGUUGGAGAGGUAACGGCUCACCAAGGCGAUGAUGGGUAGCCGGCCUGAGAGGGUGAUCGGCCACAAGGGGACUGAGACACGGCCCUUACUCCUACGGGAGGCAGCAGUGGGGAAUAUUGGACAAUGGACCGAGAGUCUGAUCCAGCAAUUCUGUGUGCACGAUGAAGUUUUUCGGAAUGUAAAGUGCUUUCAGUUGGGAAGAAACAAAUGACGGUACCAACAGAAGAAGUGACGGCUAAAUACGUG